rnacentral:rRNA from 1 species
UACGUAGGGUGCGAGCGUUGUCCGGAAUUAUUGGGCGUAAAGAGCUCGUAGGCGGUGUGUCGCGUCGGCCGUGAAAACCUGGGGCUCAACUCUGGGCGUGCGGUCGAUACGGGCAUCACUUGAGUUCGGCAGGGGAGACUGGAAUUCCUGGUGUAGCGGUGAAAUGCGCAGAUAUCAGGAGGAACACCGAUGGCGAAGGCAGAUCUCUGGGCCGUAACUGACGCUGGAGGAGCGGAAAGCAUGGGGAGCGAACAGG